rnacentral:tRNA from 1 species
GGGGGAUUAGCUCAGUUGGUAGAGCGCAAGGCUGGCAGUCUUGAGGCCACCGGUUCGACCCCGGUAUCCUCCACCA